rnacentral:lncRNA from 1 species
AUCAGUGUCCAUCACAGUGUGUGCCAGUGUAAGAGACACCGGGAUUGUUCGGCAGUUCAAAGCCAGUCAUCAGAGCACUUUCGAUGUUACAGCUUUACAAGUUGUCCCUUUCUCAUAAUUUUUCGAAAUGCAGAAAGAAUGGUGAAGUUACGCAGUCUAUGCAACCUGGUAAGUCAUUUUGUUUUUGAUUGAAAUAUGUCAUCUAAGCGCUUGCGGUGUCACAAUUUCUUAAGUUUACGUUCCCUAUCACAUUCCGAAACCCAGGAAGAAUUCUGAGCUUACAUAAUUUGAUCAACGUAAUAAGUAUAGUUUUUCUCGCUCUACUAAACUCUCCACAAUUGCUAAUACUAGCCACACCUCUCCAAGAGCUGCACCGUAUGAUCAAUGUGAUGAUCAAUGUGACUUUGCACUUGCGGUGCAACAUUCACUAUCACAAGCAGAAUGUGGCUGCUACGUUGCAAUGUAGGCACAUCGUGCAAGAAA